rnacentral:rRNA from 1 species
UGGGGAAUCUUGCGCAAUGGGCGAAAGCCUGACGCAGCGACGCCGCGUGUGCGAUGAAGGUCUUCGGAUCGUAAAGCACUGUCGCGGGGGAAAAAGAAAAUGAUGGUACCCCGAAAGGAAGCACCGGCUAACUCUGUGCCAGCAGCCGCGGUAAUACAGAGGGUGCGAGCGUUGUUCGGAAUUAUUGGGCGUAAAGCGCUGGUAGGUGGUUUGUUAAGUCGCGUGUGAAAGCUCCAGGCUCAACCUGGAAAGUGCGCGCGAAACUGGCGAACUUGAGUGCCGGAGAGGGUCGUGGAAUUCCCAGUGUAGAGGUGAAAUUCGUAGAUAUUGGGAGGAACACCAGAGGCGAAGGCGACGACCUGGAAGGUAACUGACACUGAGCAGCGAAAGCGUGGGGAGCAAACAG